CCUGGAGCCUGGUGUGACGCAUGACCUCAAUACUGUGGGUUUCUUUCCAAUUGGCCAUGCUCAUAUGUUGCUCCCUGCAUGUUAGUUUCUUAAUUAAUACCUAAUACAUAGGCAUAUCCUGCGAGCUAGGACCUUAUUUUCAUUCUUGGUGGAGUGAUUGUUUGCAUAAGCAAUUCUCUGAAAUCUCAGGGUCAGUGAUUGACAAUUUUGAUAGUGUUAAUUAAGAAGAAAAUUGCCUCCUCCUUGUACAUGUAAGCUCAUUCCAAAUUAUACUUAAGAAUAAACUGAUACAAUCCAAAACGUGAUGGCAAACAUACAUUCAAGGUCAAGGACAUAGCCUUAUAUACCCGCAAAAAGGAAGGAAAAAAAAAAACAUAUAGUCAAAGCUCUUAUUAUACAUACAUCACCUCUCUUAUUUCUCUCAAAUUCGACAAAAAGUAUCGUAUCCUCAAGGUUUUUUGGAGUGUGCUUUAGUAGCACAAGCAGAACCAAGAGUUUGAUAGUUAACAUAUCGACUUGGAGCUGAUGAAUGCUUAGACCCUUUUGGCAUACAACCCUUAACUUCCUUCUCAUGGAAAACCUCCUGUUUAUUAUGAUUCAGUACUUGAGGAUUCAUCUUCACAUAAUCCACGGAUGCAGGCCUCAUUGUGCUAGGAACGCUUGAUGGGAUAUCACGACCGCCCAUAGCAACGUCCGGAGAAGAAGAAAACAUCAAGAGGAGAUAGAUGAAAAUUAUGCAAAAUAUUGUGGCAGACAUGUUGGAAAGUGAUCGUACUGUUUCUUCUAUUCUUCUUUUGUGUUUUUUUUUUCCCGUAAUAGUUUGGUUUCCUCGUGAGUUGGAGAGGUUUUUGAAAGGGUUUUAUUAUGGGAGAGGGUUUUUAAAGGGAGUGGCUAAGGAAAGUAUCGAAUGGGGGGUCUUAAAUAGGCUCGUGAGUAGCUGAAAAUAAAGAAGAUAAUCAAGAUAUGAGUCGUAAGUCAUUGCUAUAGCGUUGCAUUAGUUUUGAAGAGUGAGGUGAUGUUAAGUUGGUGAGCAAAGAUAAGAGACAUGAGACUAGAAAAAACAGUAUUGCAUUAACUAAGAAAGACUCUUUACGAAUGGAGCUCUCAGUUCGCUCUUUAACGUUUGCAUCCUACUCCAAGACAUUUGGAGAUCCCUGGCCAAAAUUCCAGAGUGUGCUAGACCACAGAGUCUGUUCUUUGAUUGGUGAGAAAUCAAAAGAACAUAGAAUAAAAUUAUCCAUUGUAUCUUCUGCUCUGCCAGAAACAAUUGCUUCAGUGGCCAUUAGUGCAACAGUUGUGGGUGCAGCAGCAACAUUUCUUGUUAGGAGAACUAAAGCUUCUGAUGCAACUGAGGUUCCAUUGAGACCAUGUGAAGAUUGUGGGGGUUCUGGGAUAUGUUCAGAGUGUAAAGGUGAAGGAUUUGUGUUGAAGAAAAUGUCAGAGGACAGUGCUGAAAGGGCAAGAAUGACAGCAAAGAAUAUGGCCACUCGAUACACAGCUGGACUUCCCAAGAAAUGGAGCUACUGCACAAAGUGUUCUUCUGCUCGAUCUUGUACUACUUGUGGAGGCAGUGGAAAGUUAAGCUACUAGUUUUGCUCUAACCAUUUUGAUGCUUCAAACAAUGUUGUUCUUUUCACCCAAAAUUUUGCUGCCCCAUGGAAGAAUAGGAUCAAUAUUCGCCUAAGAAUAGAAAUUUACGAGGUUUCUAAACAGAAUUUGAAGCACUAGUGAUUGCUGAAUGAGAAAAUAUAUAGUUACAGAAAGAGAG